AUUGAACGCUGGCGGCAGGCCUAACACAUGCAAGUCGAGCGGAUGAAGGGAGCUUGCUCCUGGAUUCAGCGGCGGACGGGUGAGUAAUGCCUAGGAAUCUGCCUGGUAGUGGGGGAUAACGUCCGGAAACGGGCGCUGAUACCGCAUACGUCCUGAGGGAGAAAGUGGGGGAUCUCCGGACCUCACGCUAUCAGAUGAGCCUAGGUCGGAUUAGCUAGUUGGUGGGGUAAAGGCCUACCAAGGCGACGAUCCGUAACUGGUCUGAGAGGAUGAUCAGUCACACUGGAACUGAGACACGGUCCAGACUCCUACGGGAGGCAGCAGUGGGGAAUAUUGGACAAUGGGCGAAAGCCUGAUCCAGCCAUGCCGCGUGUGUGAAGAAGGUCUUCGGAUUGUAAAGCACUUUAAGUUGGGAGGAAGGGCAGUAAGUUAAUACCUUGCUGUUUUGACGUUACCAACAGAAUAAGCACCGGCUAACUUCGUG
rnacentral:rRNA from 1 species